AAGGACUUCCAAUAGGGGUGUGACUAUGUAAAGCAGAGUAAUGAAUAUGUAUUAAGUAAGCAAGGCUAUCAAAUGCACAUGUAAACAGUGUGUGUAAUAAAAAGCCCUGUCUGUCAUUUGGCACGUUGGAUUAGAGGAGCUCUCCUCUGAACCUCCAGCAUGCUGAACAAAGAAGAAUGCCCUUUUUAACAUCUCCAAAUUGGGGUUAAGAAGUUUGUUUCUGCUGCUUUUGGGUGUAAUUUUUGGCCCCCCAGACAGGACACCUCUGCCUGAUCUCCCACGGAUCUGAGGGAUCUCUGGAUCUUCAACCAGCACCAGGACUUUGCUGGAGAAGAGCACAGAUCCCCAGCCCAGUCUGGGACACAGAACCCUGUGAAAUGGCAGAAGGAUUGUGGUGUGAAUGCAGCGCCCUCAGAGCCCUUGGUGUGAGCCCAGAAAGGAAAAUCAAGGGAAAUGGUUAAAGCCUUGUUGUUCAGUGUGGAGCACAGGAGAACUUUGUUCUCAUCAUCUCCCCAAUAAAGAGGAGGACUCAGAUCUUCUGGUUGGCCCCACGGGCAGGUUGAGUGGGGGAACAGAAAAUCAAGAUGCAGAAACCAAUCUUGCAGGGGAACUGGCAUGUGAAGAGGCAGCUUUAGCAUGUCCAGAAGAAAAGGAGAGAGAAUGUGUCAGAGAGAGAGCAGAGAGCUUCAGAAAUCCCUGAGGAAAUGGUGCCCCCGGGGAGAGGAAGAGGAUGAGAGCAUGGGCAGCCUGCUUCAAACAUCCCCCCCAGGAGACUUGGGAUCAAUCCCUGUGCAUCCUGUAAGAAAGAUGGACACUGGAAAUGGGAUUAUCCACAACUGAAACUUCAGAACCCUCCCAACCCUCUUCUGGCAUCACUGAAGACGACUGAGGGGGCACCAGAGGAUUCUUCUCCAUCAGAACAUCUGGUUCCAGCCAAGCUAAGUACAAUUGGUUGUGGCUGUGGGAACUUGUUCCCCUGUCUUAAAUAAGGGAAAAUGAAACUCAAGUCACAAUUCUGGAACAAUUGUCUGGUGUGACAGGGAAUUGGGAAACUGGGCCAUUUUUAAUGCUGUGGAUUUAAAACUGGGAAAACAGUGGUUGGCUCCCCAGUAUUUCCCCAAUUCACCAAAACCUCUGCCUGGGAGAGAUCUCUUGGAAAAAUUAAAUGCCACAAUCCAAUUUAAAAAUGAUAAAAUAUAAGUUAUUAUUGCAGAGCCUAAUUCUGUGGAAGAUUCUAGUUUUGCAUGAGAGUCUCCAAAAGCAGAACUAAUCCAUCUGCCAACGUCACUUGGGGAUGCAGUGAUUCCAGUAGGAUGGGCUGGAGAGGUGCCUCCAUGAUCCAAAAGAGCAGAACCUGUGAGAAUUCCAGUGAAACCUGGAGCAGGGCUGGUCAGGCCAAAGCAAUAGCCUUUGAAAAUGGAAAGUUGUGAGGGAUUCUCUCUCUCUGUAGAAAAAUUGAUGAAAUUUUGCUUGUUAAAAGAAUGUGAAUCUAAAUGUAAUGCUCCAAUUUUACCAGUCAAGGGGGCAAAUGGAAGGCUAUCCCAGUUAGUCCAAGACCUCAGAGCUAUAAAUAAUCGAGUAGAGGAUAUACAAGCAGUCAUAGCAAAUCCUUACACUUUGCUAACUCCCCUAAAUGAAAGUUUAGUAUGUAUUUCACAGUAUUAGAUUUGAAAGCUGCCUUUUUCUGUCUCCCUUUGAGUUGUGAAAGUCAAGAGCUUUUUGCUUUCAACUGGGAAAAUCCAAAAACAGGGAGGAAAACCCAGCUGACUUUGGUGGUCCUCUUGCAGGGGUUUAAAAAUAGCCCCCCAGUAUUUGGAACUCAAUUGGCAAAGGAACUGGAGGAAUGGAAAAGUCAAAACCCUCUUGGAGCCUUAUUCCAGUGUGUGGAUGAUAUUUUGAUAGCCACUGAUGCUGAGCAGCAAUGUUGGGAUCAGACACUGUGGAAUUUCCUUGGACUGGGUGGAUACGGGGUGUCCCAAACAAAAAGUGAAAGUAGUCCAGACCCCAGGAGUUUCCCUGGGCUUUGGAAUUCUCCAAGGACAAGGGAGGCUGGGCCAGGAAGGAAAGAAGCAACCUGUCAACUCCCCCAGCCCCAGCAAAGGAAGCCCAGAGAGUGAUUGCUUCCAGACUAGAGGAGAAGUGUAUUCGGGCAGAGCUGACUCAGGAGACAGCCCCUGGGAAAGUCCUGGUUGGGAAUUGUUUCCCAGUGGGGGCAGCUUUGUCCAGCGUGGAAAACAAUUCUCUGGAUGCACAGGAACUCCCCCCAGCAGGUCAUGGAAUUGGGGGCACUCCUCUGCAGUGCCUCAGCCCAGAAAGCAGAACCAAUUGUGCUCACUCCAGCUUGGGGAUUGAGUCAAGGAGAACAAGUUAAUCCUUGGACUUGCUUGAAGAUCUCCAGAAACCAACAGAGGCUACUAUCCUGCAUUGCAGAGUGCACCAAGAGGGGAAGACCAAAGCAGAACUGGGGAAUCAUUUGUCCCAUAAUUCUGCCAAAGAGGCUGCAGAAAAAGGCACUUUAGAGAGUAAAGUUUUGUCUUUAAUAACCCUGACAGAGAUACCUCUCCCAGUAGAAAAAAAACUAGUGUAGUGCUAAGGAUUGUCAGCUCAUUGAAACUUUAGGAGCAAAAUUUGCUCCAGGAGGCUGGGCAGUUACCCCAGGUGGGCAAAUAAUAGUCCCUGAACCAAUCUGGUGUGAACUGCUGGAUGGGGAACAUGAGGGUAUUCCUUGGACUGAAGCAAAUCAUUGAAACAUUUGCACAAGUGGAUUAUAAUAAGUCCAAAACUGACCCCAGUUGUACAAGCAGUGAGUCAGCAGUGUGGUGUGUGUAAGAGAAAUGAUCCAAACCCUGCCAAUGCAGUGGGAAUAGGGGAUGUAAAGUGUAGAAAUGUUGCAGGUGAAUGUUGGCAGAUGGAUUGGACUGAAUUGCCCAGAAAAGGGGGGUGUAAAGAUCUCCUAGUCUUGAGGGAUACCUUCUCUGGAUAGCCAGAGGCUUUUCCUUGUUGCACUAAGAAGGUUUGGAAAGAGACUGCAAUAUUGUUCAAUGCAAUCCUCCCUGUAUUUGGGAUGCCUUUGGGAAUGCCAUCAGACAGAGGUUCCCACUUAUUGCAGGAACAAAAUGCUUCACUCUUGUUUUGCUAUUCUGACAACAGUUCAAACACUGUUGACAUGGGAGGAAAAUUUACAUCUCUUUUUAGUGCCAAAUGUGAUCCAAAUGUUGUCUAAAAGUGUCUGUAUUAAGUAAGCAAGACUCUGUAAUGAACCUGUAAACUGUGUGUGUAAUGUAAAGCCCUGUCUGGCUGUCCCUGAAGUGCUGAGGCUGAACAACAGCCCCUGAGCCAAAGCUGAGCUCUAGAUGAACCUUCCAACCUAAUGGGCUGUGUCUCCAUGUAUCUGCUCAUCAGCUAAAACUGGGUCUGUUUGUUGGUAAAAAUGUGGUGUGAUGGGACUCCACCUGUGUAUCUGCUCCUGAGCAAACAGGUGUGCUUAUUAGUCAGAUCUGUUAGUCUGGGCUCAUUAGUGAAUCCUGUUUGUACCUGUUCAUUAACAAAAUAUGUCUGACUGUGAGCAAAAUGUGAUCUUUAUCUUUCUGUAUCUGGAGAGUGGUUGAGGCCAUGGCAGUCGAUGUCUGGCCUUGUUUGGCAGCAGAUGGGGCACGGGGAGCCUUGGUUUGGGAGAAGUAGAACAUUGCUCCCAAUAUUCUGCUCUGACCAAAUAAGGAACAAUAGAAUCUUAGAGAAGUCCUGGAGAAUUGGAUCAGGGCUGGAACUCAAGCAAACAGGAUGUGAGCUGAGCUCUGGGGACCCAGAGAAGAUCAAACCAAACAUGCUGGUCUGUGGGGAAAAGCAGUGAUGCUGAGAACCGAGGUCAAGAAGGGGACACCUGAUUUUGGGGGGGCACCAGAUGACAAAACCCCCACCAGAGACCCCCAAAGAAGACCCCAAAUGACCAAAAAGGUGCUUGCAAUAAGGGAUGUGACUGUGUAAAGCAAAGUAAUGGACGUGUGUUAAGUAAGGGAGAAUAUCCAAUGCCUCUGGAAUCAGUGUGUGUAAUCCCAAGCCCUGCCUGUGUCCCUGAGCAGGCUGGAUUAGAACUCUCCUGCAGGCGUCCAGCACGCUGCCCUAAAGAAUGCCUGCUUCUUAACACCCCAAACUGGGGUGAAGGGCUUGGGUUCUGCUGCUUGUGGGGAUCAUUUCUGGCCCCCAGAUGGGACCCUGUGCCUGAUCUCCCGCGGAUCCGAGGGAUCUCUGGAUCUUCACGCCGGCCCCAGGACUUUCCUGGAGAAGAGCACAGAUCCCCAGCCCAGUCUGGGAUGUGGGGAAGAUCCCAUUGGAUAAUAAGGCAUUCUUUUGGGGAAUCCUGCUCAUGUAAGAUGUGUGGAUCUUCCAGCACUUUGGGUGGGUUAUUGGGUAUUCCACAAUUUGGUGUCUGGCUUUGUUUUAUCCACUGAUCAUUGUUUUGUGUUUGUAUUCGUCUCUGUACUGUAACAUUUGCACAGGUGGGUUAGGGGUGUAAAACUGACCCCAGUUGUACAAGCAGUGAGUCAGCAGUGUGGUGUGUGAGAGAAAUGAUCCAACCCUGCCAAUGCAGGGGGAAUAGGUGAUGUACAGUGUGGAAAUGUUCCAGGUGAAUGUUGGCAGAUGGAUUUGACUGAAUUGCCCAGAAAAGGGGGGUGUAAAGAUCUCCUAGUCUUGGGGGAUACCUUCUCUGGGUGGCCAGAGGUUUUCCUUUGUGACACCAACUGGGCUAGGGAAGUGAGUGGAAUACUGUUGAAUCCAAGAAUCCCUGGAUUCGAGGUACAUUUGGGAAUGUCAUCAGACAGAGGUUCCCACUUGAUUGUAGAAGUGGUACAAGAAGUCAAAUCAUGGAUGCAUUAUUCCAGAAUUCCAAAGGCCAGAGCCCCUUGGGUAAUUGAGAGGUUGUCUGAGGAGAAACAAAAUACUUUAGUCUUGUUUUGCUCUCCUGACAAUAGUUAAUUGGGUCUUGACUUGGGAGCAAAAUUUACAUCUCAUUUUAGUCUCAAAUGUGACCCAAGUGUUGCCUCCAAGGGAUUGUUGGGUGUGCACUCAUUUACCUGAAAAGACAAGAAACCAUUCACCAUUUAUGCCUCCACUAUUCUGGUAGAAAUGAUUCCUGGUCACUGGGUGAGCACUUGUGCUCACCAAAAAGUAGACCCAGCAGUUAGUGUGCAAGUAUCCCCCACCACCUCUGACAAUCCUGCCUGUGUCCAAAGCUGUGACCCCCACUAAAGGGACAGGAGAACUGGAUUGUGUUAAUGAAAGGGGCACGUUUGUGGGAAAUCACCCCCAAUGUCCUCAAACCCUUCCUGCUGGGGAAAUGACUGAUCCUUGGCCGGUCCCCAAAGGAACGGGGUGGUGUUGGUUGUGUGGAAAUAACACCUGUGAAGGGUUGUCCCAAAGCUGGAAGAGCAUUUGUAUUUCAGCUUGCAUCAGAAUUCAGUGCUGUAGCUGUUCUAAUGCCUUGAGCUGUAAAAUGAAAUAAAGCUCCUAAGACACUCUAUCCCUUCAGGAGCUUAGUCUGAAGAAAAGGAGGGAUUUGAUGUGGGAUAUAGAACACUGCUCCCAACAUUUCUCUAUGGCCAAGGAAGGAAAAACAUAAUCUUGGAGAGGUCCUAGAGAAUUGGAUCAGGGAUGUAACUAAGCAAACAGGAUGGAAGCUGAGCUCUGUGCACCCAGAGAAGAUCAGACCCAAACGUUACAGUCUUUGUGGUGAAAGGUAAUGACACUGUGUCUGCUCAGAACUGAGGUCAAGAAGUGGACACCUCAACUUUGGGGGCAUCAGAUGCCAAAAACAUCCACCAGAGACCCCUGAAAAAGACCCCAAAGGACAAACUAAGGACUUGCAAUGGGGAGGUGACUAUGUAAAGCAAAGUAACGUCUUUGUAUUAAGUAAGGGAGACUAUCCAAUGAAUAUGGAAAGUGUUUGUGUAAUAAAAAACCCUGUCUGGCUGUCAUUGAAGUGCUGAGGCUGAACAACAGGCCCUGAGCCAAAGUUGAACUCUAGGUGAACCUUCCAACCUACUGGUCUAUUUAUCCAUGUAUUUGCUCCUUAGCUAAAACUGUGUAUGUUUGUUGGUCAAAGAUGUACUGUGUGAAAAGACUACCCCUGUAUCUGCCCAUGAACAAAAUAAAUGUGCGUAUUAGUAAGA